rnacentral:rRNA from 1 species
AUUGAACGCUGGCGGAAUGCUUUACACAUGCAAGUCGAACGGCAGCACGGGGGCAACCCUGGUGGCGAGUGGCGAACGGGUGAGUAAUACAUCGGAACGUGCCCGGUCGUGGGGGAUAACGUAGCGAAAGUUACGCUAAUACCGCAUACGAUCUGAGGAUGAAAGCGGGGGACCUUCGGGCCUCGCGCGAUCGGAGCGGCCGAUGUCAGAUUAGGUAGUUGGUGGGGUAAAGGCCUACCAAGCCGACGAUCUGUAGCUGGUCUGAGAGGACGACCAGCCACACUAGGACUGAAACACGGCCCAGACGCCUACGGAAGGCAGCAGUGGGGAAUUUUGGACAAUGGGCGCAAGCCUGAUCCAGCCAUUCCGCGUGCAGGACGAAGGCCUUCGGGUUGUAGACUGCUUUUGUAUGGAACGAAAAGGCUCUGGCUAAUACCUGGGGCUCAUAACGGUACCGGAAGAAUAAGCACCGGCUAACUACGUG